AAAACUUACUAGGUCCAUACAUAGUAAGGAUUGAUAGAUUGAGAGCACUUUCUUGAUUCUAUUGGUGGUGGUGCAUGGUCGUUCUUAGUUGGUGGAGCGAUUUGUCUAGUUAAUUUCGAUAACGAAUGAGAGCAGCUGGACGAGAUGAUUGGAAAAUUAGAAGGCUGAUGUUGAGGUCAUCACAACAAGCAGUCGGCAAGGAUAAGUUGAUCAGAAAGAAACCCG
rnacentral:ncRNA from 1 species